rnacentral:rRNA from 1 species
CAGCUCUUGUCUUGAGAUNUUGGGUUAAGUCNCGCAACGAGCGCAACCCCUGUCUUUUNUUNCCAGCACGUAAUGGUGGGNACUCNAGGGAGACUGCCGGUGAUAAACCGGAGGAAGGUGGGGAUGACGUCAAGUCAUCAUGNCCCUUACGGCCAGGGCUACACACGUGCUACAAUGGCGCGUACAGAGGGCUGCNAGACUAGCGAUAGUGAGCGAAUCCCAAAAAGCGNUUCGUAGUUCCGGAUCGGAGUCUGCAACUCGACUGCNGUGAAGUCGGGAAUCGCUUANUAUUCGCAAAUCANAAUGUUGCCGGUGAAUACGUUCCCCGGU